rnacentral:sRNA from 1 species
AGAACGCCGGGACGCAUUUCCGAGCUCCGGCCAGACCCAACCCGCUGCCAUUCUAGCUACCUAGUGGAGCCGCGGAGAGACUCUUGAACCGCGAGGCUCCUUGAUGAGAAGGUGGAGAGGCUGCGGGGCUAUUCUCCGAGCAUCUUCCGGCCGCGCUCUGCUCCUCUCGGUGCGCUUGCGGUUUCUCCUUGGGCUGGCGCGUCCGCCGUCCCUCCAACAACAGGCCGGGCCGCUGAGGCGGUGCGGAAAGUUUCCGUCUGGGAGUGCGGAACUGGGGCCGGGUUGGUGUACUGCUCGGAGCAAUGGAGCCAGCCUUCGGGGAGGUGAACCAGCUGGGAGGAGUGUUCGUGAACGGGAGGCCGCUGCCCAACGCCAUCCGGCUUCGCAUCGUGGAACUGGCCCAACUGGGCAUCCGACCGUGUGACAUCAGCCGCCAGCUACGGGUCUCGCACGGCUGCGUCAGCAAGAUCCUGGCGCGAUACAACGAGACGGGCUCGAUCUUGCCAGGAGCAAUCGGGGGCAGCAAGCCCCGGGUCACUACCCCCACCGUGGU